GGAGCCAGCCGCCUAAGGUGGGACAGAUGAUUAGGGUGAAGUCGUAACAAGGUAGCCGUAGGAGAACCUGCGGCUGGAUCACCUCCUUUCUAAGGAA
rnacentral:rRNA from 1 species